UCACCAAUUUGGAAAUAAAACUAAAAGCACAAGAACAAAACUGUCACUCAGCAUUUGGUUCAGCAGUAAGUGCUCUGGAAGGACAGGAGAUGGUCUCAUUGCAAAGCAGCAAAAGUAUGGAACAGACAAUCCAAAGAAUGACACAGUCGUGCUAGGAGUGGAAGAGCUAUUGUAAACCCGUAAAUGUACUUCAUAUUGUUAUCUUCCUCUGUGUUUACCAGGAAAUUACGUCCACUUCAGUCUCAGGAUUUAGAAGAUGUGCAAGGGAGUGCAAGGGAGUCUGAAGGGGCAGUAAACAGUGCUGAAGUGGAGAUGUUGAAUCUCAGAAUAAAACAGCUGGAAAAGUCAGAGCAAAAACUGAAAGACAUUUUAGAGGACUACACAAAGUCAAAUUCUGCACUAGGAAACAGAGCAAAGGAGCUGGAGCUGUCACAGAAGAAACUUUUCGAAACAGUUGACCAACUGAAUGCAAAGCUACAGCAGGUAGAAAAUGCAAACCUACGUGUUAAAGGGAAGCUCCGAAACCUUCAGGUGGAACUGACAGAUUUGGUUCAAAAACAAGAAAAGGCAGAAAGAAAACAAAAAGAAAAGCUAUGGCGACUUCAGGACCAAUUGAAGACAAAAGAGGAUGAAGUAAAGAGUCAGUCAGCAUAUUUCGAGCACUACAAACAAAAGCAGAAGCAGAAGACAGCAGUGUUGAGAGAACGGGAGUUGUCCCUUCAGGGUCAGGUUUCCAGGCUGGAAAAGGAAGUCCUAGAUCUCAAUGCCACUACAGCUUUUCUGUUCUCUGAGCUAGGAGAGGGAACUGUACAAUAUCUCCGAUGCAAACUGGAAGCAGUAUUCAAUGGAAUUCAGGGGUCUUUGCACUUAGAUGUGAAUAUAACUAAAAUAAAAACUCUCAUUGAAGAUGUGGAUCAUUACAUGAAAAGCCACCUACAGACACUGCAGCAAAAUCUGAAAAGGUUACAGGAAAAAGAAGAAGGUGGUAAUAGAGAACAAGCAGACCUACUAACUAAACUUCAGCUCUCCCAGGACAAUGAAGAUUUCCUGACAAGGAAAUUAGAGGAAUCUCGCUGUCGUGUUUAUGAGCUGAAAUUGUCUGAAAUCAACCUUCAGGAACGCGUGGAGGAACUUAUGGAAGAAAACAUCACUUUAAAGGACAAACUGGGAGCAAAGUUACCAAGAGAAGCAGAAAAGGAGCUAUUGCCUGCAGGAAUGGAAAAUGGAGAAAAUAAAGCUGUCAGUGGUAACUGGAAUGGUGACCUGUUUUUCCAGGAUGAGCAGAUAAAUCUGAAGAGGGACGCAGUCUUGGAUCCAGCCAGAGACAAAGCUAGUCAAACUCCAUCUUUUCUACAACAUACCAAACAGUCUCGUACAACAGCAAAGAUAGCAUCAGAGUGUGGCUAUGGCUGGCUUAAUAAUGUGGAGGGGUUGCCAAAGGAACUUCUCAUACCAUUUUUGGAGCACAGCUCCAGUGCCUUGGUGGAAACUGGUGAAGAACACGGGCUAGCUGACGCUGAACAGGUCAUACUUGGCACACAAAGAUCAGAUGGUGCUUCUCCGUUGUUUGGAUGUACUCCAAGCCAGCUUAAAAACAGACAGCUAAUCUUAUUUUGCUCUGAGAGGCUAAGCAAUGAUGGGAGAAGUAAGGGGACCAAAGAAAAAGGAUAUUUCUUUCUCUUAAAGGAACAAGCUAUAAAUCAACCAGCUAAUCCUUUGCCUGUCUUCAAGGUUGCCACUUUGAUUGAUCCUCAGUUUGUCUUGCUAGAACCUGAAAUCCCCAGGGUCCUAGGUGUCAGAUCAGCAUCUGUUUUCCCAGUGAACAAAAUGCUGAAUUUGAAUUACAACCAGACAUAUCACAAUAACUUUUGUCUUUCUAAUGGUGUCUUGCAUGUUGUGAAAGGAGUUUCUUCUGGUAAAGAUUCUGAAGCUCUAAAGGAAAAGAUUGCGAACACUGAGACUGAAAUUUUCAAACUCCAGGUUGAAAAACAUUAUAUGGAAAAAUGUUUGCAAAAUAAAAAAGCUAUACAGAAAAGCACAGAUGAAAAGAAAAACCCGAAUAAAGAAAUAAAUGAUGAAAAAAAUCAAAGUAGAAAUGGUCCAGAGAAAUCUCAGCGAGAAGAAAAAAGGGAUGAGAAAGCACAAAUCAGAACAAUAACUUGCAUUUCUGAAAAAGCCACCAAAGUUUUAAUUAAAAUUGCACAUGAUGAAACUGGGGAGCAAGAAGCAGAACCAAAAUUUCAUGCAGCAAGCAUUCCAGGUGACCAAAACAUGUCUGUCCUACACAAGGAAUUAGAGGGAUAUCCUCAAGAAAACUCUGAAUUUAAGGAUGAACAUGGAAAACAUUUAGCAAUCUCUACCUUUGAUGAAGUAAACAGAAGAUGCCUAGAAAAGAACAUUUUUGUGACAGAAGAGAAGGGUAAACAACCCGAGAAUCUAACUGACCAAAUAAAAGUGUGUCGACAAAAAAGUGUUGGACUGAAAGAAAAGAGAGAGCAAUGUUUGAAACUGUCUGAACGAGAAGAUGAGGAUAAGUCAUCAUGCAAACAAAUGACUGAUCAGAUAGAGGAAUAUAGUAAAUGCUCUCAAAAACUGUCUGCACUGAAGGAAGAUAAAUAUAUGUAUCCACUGAAUAUAUUGUCUCCUGCACAAGAGAGAAAUAUAUACUUAAAUGAAGGGUUAGCACAAGAGGAAGAAUAUUUUGAACAUGUUCAUUAUCUAUCUGCAGCAGAAGAAAACAAUGGAUAUACCCUGAAAACAGAUAAGUUAGAGAAGCUCAUGGAUAUAUAUUCUCAAAGAAUAUCUGCACUGAUGAAAGAGAAUGGGAGUUACUCACAGAAACUCCUCAUGUUACAGGAAGAGAAUGAUAGAUAUUAUCAGAAGAUGUGUGCACUAGAAGAGGAGAUAGAUGCAUAUUCUCAACACAUAUUAGCAGCACAUGAAACUGAUGUUGACUCUUCCCAAAAGUUAUUAGCCAAGGAGGAAAUAUAUGGUAAAUGUUAUAACAGUGUUUCAAAAGAGAAGAAUUUUAAGUGUCCAGGAGCGAUUUGUGUUCUCUUGGGUGAGACUGAAAUCCUUUCCAAGAAUGUGUCUCACCUGGUUAAAAAGGAAGAUAGAAAUUCUGAAAAGGAAAUACCAGUGAUGGAAUCAAAUAAAUUUCUCAAGAAAAUUGUAGCUCUUGAUGAAAAGAAGAUUAAAUAUUUCCAGCUGCUUUCUGGUCUCAAAGAGGAGAGAAAUAGCUUUUUCAGAGAAAUAGCUAAACUAUUACAAGACAAAGAAAAAUACAUUAAAAAAACUCAUGAAUUGGAAGAAGAGAGAGAGAGAAAUUUACAGAUAAUAUCUCAACUAGAAGGAGACAAAGAAACUUUGUUGGGAAGUUUGAGUGAGCUAAAAUGUGAACAAGACAAACACAUGACAAUGAUUUCUGAAUUGAAUGAGUGCAAAACCAAAUGCUACCAAACAAUUUCUGAUCUACAAGAGGAAAAACGUAUACUGAAAAAUGAUAUGAAUGGAGUCCGUAGGAAAAGUUCUGAACAGCUUCUAGAAUCUCAGAAAGUAAUUGAGAACAUUCUUCAAGAAAACAAUGAAUUGAAGGAAAUAAUGUCUGCUCUUGGAAUCAGCUAUGAAGACCCGAUAAAAGAUAAAAUUUCAGGAAUAGAGGGAAAGUUGCUAAGAUUGAAGCAAGAAAAUAAGAGUGUACCACAUAGAAUGCAAGAAAAGGAAACAGAGGUGGCUUCUGGUAAAACACAUACUAAAGAAAAAGGAAUUCAAGUUAUAGAACCCUUAAACUAUCUCACUAGGAAAGAUAAAGACACCUGUUCAGAAGAGGAAAUUGGUAGCAUUAAAGGAUAUUGUCAAGUGGGAUGUUCUAAAAACACUGAGACUUCUAAAUUCCAUUUUAGUAAUGCUGGGAUAAGUGCAUUUUUGGGUGAUCAAAACAUUGCGAUCUCCAGGGUGCUCCAAAAGACUUCUGAGAGACCAGAGGUGGCAAAGUUAACCUUUGAAACAGAAGAUAAAAUAUCAAGCAACAGUUUUUCUCAAUGUUGUGUUAAAGUGCUGGAGAAUAUGGAACUGCUACAAGAGUCCUCAAAGGGCAGCACAUCUGAAAGCUACAGUGCAAUGCAAGAACAACUGGAAAGGUCAAAGGAAGAACUAAAAGUACAACAAGGGGAAUUAGAAAAGGCCAAAAAAGAGGCUCAGAAGUGGUACCGAGAACUUGGCUUUGUAGAAGCAAGAUAUGAAGAGGUCAGAACUCAGUUGACACAGGCACUCUCUGAAUUACACCCACUUAAACAAGCAGAUGGCGGGGAAAGGCUUAGAAAGCAGUGCUGCCAGUUAAUGAAGGAAGUCCAAGAACUGAAAGAGGAUAGGAUAGCCAAUAAGGGAUUAGAACAGCAAGUGCUGACCUUGAAAUCCCAACUAAGGGACCAGACUGUAUUACAAAGUCAGUUUCAAGACUUGCAAAACCAAGUGGAAUGCCUUCAGGCUCAGCUGUGUGAAAAGACUGAGGAACUUCAGAAAAGAAAGACUGAAGCUGACCUGACAGUAGCUCCACUCAAGGCUAAGCUAUCUUGCCUUGUCCGGAAAUGCCAUGAAAGAAACAGCUUGAUUACCCAGCUGGUCAGGGAAUUUCACAGGCAUGGAAUUAUGGAUUCCAUUUUCAGUGAAGAGGCAAAGAAUUUAGUGAACGACAUGGCGCUAGCAGAGCACACUACCACCUUUACAUCUGUUCGCAAUCGAGAGAGACAAUCCCCGCAAUUUGCAAUGCCUGAGAAGACAGCACACAGACGAGCUUCACAGACUCUUAUGCCUACUGGGGAAGACAGUGAUUUGCAUCUGAGUGGGUCAUUGCAUUCUAGAACCUGCACCGCUACUGCUGACUUUCAUCUGUCACCAGAGAUGCCUCAAACUGUGCUUCCUGUUUUACUGCGUCCUGCUGGAGACAUUUCACAGGUCAAUGGAUUGCCAAAUAACCAUGGGACCUACCAGGCUGAAGCGAAUGAGAAGGCGAGGCCAAUUCCUGCAAGCUUUCUACAGAAGUCAGAUGACAUCUGCUGUGCUCACACAACUCAAAACAAGUGUACUACUUCUCCUUUAAAAUUAACAUGCCUAGAGAGGAUCAUAGCCUUACAUCGAGAGCUUAGACAAAACCAUCACAGUAAUUACGAGAUACCUUCAUUUGCCUCUUCCAAUUCAAAACUGAAGGCGGACUGCAAUUUGUCCUCUGUCUGUCAUCCAGCCCAAGAUGUGACCUCCCAGUCGGUAGUGUCAAAAAUGAACAAUUCACUGAAACUUUCAGAUAGGAGCUCUUUCCAUCUCAUAGAUGGGAGGGACCAGUUGUCUAAACUUGGUGAUGUAUUCCACAGUCAUACAGGAAAUCAGCAUGCAGGUGCUGUUCUCCAGGGAAGGAGAAAGAAAAAUGUCAUUAUGAAUAACACAUGGAUCUCGGGAGAAAAACCAGAUGGCUCAACCUCAGCUACCACAGCAAAAAGCUAUUUGUCAGGUGUGUUGUCAGCAAGUAAUAAAGGUCAAAAUCCUACUGGGGAGAAAUCAGCUGCACUGGAAAGAGUAAAAGCCUCAGAAAUAAAACAAGGAUCUCCUGCUCCAGUUGGUUCGGUCUAUAUUAUUAAAGCAGUGGGAAAAAGCAGCAUGAUGAUUGGCUGGGAGAGACCGGUAGUAGAUGAAUUAGGAUGUAGUAAUGGAACUUUCAUUACAGGAUACAGGAUAUAUACAGAUGGGGAAUUUCGUAAAUCUGUUAUGAGUUCAGCAUGCACAAAGACUAUUUUAGAAAAUCUGGAUCUUUCUGUGCCGUUUCAAAUCAGCGUUCAGACUGUUGGUUCUUCUGGUUUGGUAUCUGAGAAGAUGAAUGUUCGAUUUAGUUGUCCUUUAACAAAAAAGGAAGCUUCAUCAUUUGCCUUUAGUGUUUACCCCGAAGACCAAAAGCCUGGUGCCAGCUCCCAUUAGGUGAAUGGAAGGCAAGGUUUAGCUCCAUUGUCCUUCUUGAAGAAAUUAAUUUUGGAUGACCAAAGAAACUAAAGAAAAUACAGUGAAGGUUUGAUUAUGGUCUUCCCAGAAAGGUUGUAAUCCAAAGAAGAGAAGAAAGCCCCAAAAGACGGUGUUUUCAUAGCCACUUGCUCACCAGCUUUGCUUUAUUUGUUUUGGAGAUGAGAAGGAACUCCAAAAGCCUGUGUGUGCUUUAAGAGGAAAGCAGUCCCAAAGACUGUUUGUUUAUAGCCUAGAUCCAGCCUUUGCUUUACUUUGCACUGAGAGGAGAAGACAUCUUGGGAAGGCAAUAGGAAGGUGUUUGGCAUGGGGGGGAAGCAAGUCUCAGCUGAUGCGUUAUUAUGGGCCCAAGAUGGAGUUCAAAGGUGUAAGGGAAGAACGAAUCAGACAUGAAAAGAAAAAGCAAUGUAGUGCUGAAGGUAUCACAAAGGGUGUUUCUAGUCUGGAAGCCUCCAUAGCUGCUUUGCUAAGGAAAAAACUGACAAGCCACAAUGACUUACUGACCCUCAUCCUUCACUGGAAGUUGGUGUUGCAAUCCAAUUAAAUAUAGAUCUUUUAUAGAAUCUUAAUAAUGUAAUGCAUUUUUAGGAAAUUCUCAUGUUUUGCUCAAAUCCCAACCUUUGGAUGCCUACAUAUGUGGUUAUAGGGAGCUUGCAUAUAUGAAGGUCAUAUGGGACCUCAAUCCCACUGGCUUUUAUGGGAGUUCAGGGUACAUAGAACCUCUCAGGAUAUGGCAGUAGAUGGACUCAUUUUUCAAGGUACCGAGUGCCUUCAGCAUCCACUGGAGUAAGUGUCGUACUCAUCCCAGACCUGUAGGCACUGAGAAGUUGGAAGAAUUGUGCACUAUGGCCUUAAUUCAGUAAAGCACAUAAGCACAUACUUACCUUCAAUCCUGUGAGCAGUCCCUUUGAACUUUAGUUGGAUUACUGGUGUGCUUAUGUGCUUUGCUGAACCAGGUCCUGUGUGUGCGCCCACAAACUGGUAACAAUGUAUGCAGAACACACACUGAUGCGUCCAAAAUGGGUAAGCACAUAUUAUUGUAUCUAUCUGCAGAUGCAGAUAUGUUGGAUAUACUUGCACACAUGAGACUGGAGUGUAAGGGUACAUAUGAGUGUUUACAGUCCUACUUCAAUGGCUUAUGCAUGCUUCUAUUGAAGUCAAUAGCAAAACUCCCAUUGACUUGAAUGGGAGCAAAAUUGGGUACUAAUUUACGUAACUUCCCCCUUGUUGUGUAAUGCACUGUCAGUUUUGAUAACUAUUUUGAAAUCUUUUAUCAUUUAUUUUUUUAUCAUUUAUUUUAUUUUAAUUGAGCUAACCUUUAGAAUAUGCUGAUCUCUACAGUGGUUAGUCUCCCAGUAAUUUCAGAAAUUCUUUGAAGGGGGGAGGUACAAGGCUAAUAAAAUAAGGAAACCCAUCUCAGAUUAAUUUCUUGUGCAUUUUUAGAUUAUGGUUAUCAAGAGAUGACAAGUUGGCAUGGCAACAUUUGAAGCUUAACUGCUAAUAAGCGCUCUUAAAAUAAAUUGGUGUCAUAUGUGGGUUUCUUGCCAUUAGCAUACUCUACCACCUGAAGAGAAGCAACACAUAUAUCAUUUGCAAAACACGCAUACAAUUAGACCCUCGUUCUUAUUUCUGAAUGAAGUGUUAAACUAAGACAUCAUGCAUGUUUCCUGGUAUUUAUGACCAGUCUCCCACUAUGAAAUAUAAAUGUUGAUAAUGAACUUGUCCAUUUUUUAGUGUCUCAGGCCUUAAGCCAUUCACUCCACGUAAAAAAUGAUUGUGCUAUGUUUCUUUUGUGGCACAUGCCACGUUCACCUCUCUUAAACUGCACACCUCCUAAUAUCAGAAUUGUCUUCCAGUAUUAUAAAAGACUAUUCACUCAUUAAACUAGUAGAUGGGUGGAUUCAUUCUGUGUGUCACAAGAUUUGGAAUUGAAAUCUCAUCUUUAACGCAAAUGAUGAUGAUAAAGCAGCAAAGCUAUGAAUGUGAGUUUGUGGGUUGUGAUUAGACCAGGCAGGGAGCAUAAAGAUUAAUUUCCAGUUUCCUUGUGGUGAGCAGAAAAAAGCAGUGUCUAGUUAUUAUAGAAUCUGUUCAGUUUGAAAUGCGUUCACUAAGCAAACUUUGUGCAGGACAAAGGAACUAUUUUUGCCUCUCUUUCUAGUAGGCUGACCUGCUAAAUUCAAACAGGAUAAAAUGGAACAGCUACUGAUUAUCUGUAUUUGACAAGGUGCUGCUUUUCUUGUGUAUGGUAAACUGCUUCUCAAAAUGUAAAACUGGGCACUUUGGUUGGCUUGAUUUAUAUGCACAAUAUUUUUCUGACCAAAUUAAUUGCAAUUAAUGUUAAGAUGCUGCUACCAAGUCCUCCUAUGUAAAUAUACUCCUUUGCUCUCACUUUGAACAAAAUACACAGAUUGACACUGGACAUUUUUACAUAUAAAAUAUGGUUUAUUUCUUAAUUCACUUAUUACCAUACACUCUACUGUGCAGAGCAUUACAAGAUGUUAAAAAUAUAUCUCAUGACAUAUUUCUAAUCAACCAAUGGUCCUUAUAUCAUCUUGGAAAAUUGAAUUCUGUUAUUUGCACCAACACAGUUGACAGAUGCUGGAAGUAUAGUGAUUGAAUCACCGAAUGAUAAUUAUGUUAAAUGUAUGCUAAUACAAUUGGCUAAGAAAUAUUUUAUGCACACAAUAUAAUUCUCAAAAUAACCCUCCUAUUCAGGCAGCAUUGAUAUUUGUCUGUGGCCUUUAAAAAGUGGAAAUUCUCAUCUAUAUUUCAUAAGUCUACCUGUCUUUCUAGUAUGUAGGUGAAGGAUUUUAGUAUUUUGAAUUUGCAUUGGUGGGAAAAACAAGUGCAUGUUGGCUUUUGCAGCUAAUCCUUUGGAAAUCCUUUAGUGCCUUAAGGAGCCAGAGGGGGAAGAGACUUUGGGAUUACGGUAUAGUAACUUGUGCAGACCUCUUUCCUGCUUCAGCAGAAUUCCUUUAAGACAUAUUGUGCCUUGGACUCCAAACAUAUUUGCAUUAGAAAUCAGUAGCCAUUAUAUUAUGGGCAGGAAUUUUUGCCCCUUUACAUAUCCUAGGUUAUAAAAUCUAUUGCGGUUUCCAAAGUAGGAUACAAAACUAAAACAUCAAAUUCAAAUUCUACCAUUGGAAUCCAUGGUAUCAGUCAUUAUCAGCAAACUAGGAAUGUUAAAGUUGGAGUUAAACCAACAAAGAAAGUUCAGCUUAACUCUGAUGUGCUGCAUAAAUCCUGGUUCCAUUGAAGUCCAUGGUAAAACUCCCAUUGAUUUCAAUGCGGCCAAGAUUUCACCCUAUCUUUUACUUGUGCAGCACAUAUGAUAUAUAAAUAUCAUACACUCAUCAUCACUGCCUAUGCACAGCAGGGACAACGUGGUCAAAGGAGAAAGGAGCUAAGGAGGUAUAGAGGCUUGACUUGAUUUAGAGUUGUUACUGUCUGUGGUGUAAAUCUGUGCUCAUCAUUGUUUUACUAUGUCACAUGGAUUCUUGCUAUGUUAAUAUGAUAUGUAAAUGUAAAAUGCAAUGAAAGGGGUAACUGUACACGUGCAGCAGCUGAUUUCCAAAUAUAAAUAUGUCAGCAUCUGAACUGUUUAGAUUUGUUUUUCUAUGUUGAGAGAGAGAUUAAUCUAUAUUAGGUGAAAUUCACUCCUCUGCAGAGAGCCUACACAAGGCCCUAGAUGUCACUAAUUUAGAGUUUUAAAUGGAUCUUAAGUGGUCUUAUGUGGGGUGAAUUUCACUUAUUAUGAAUGAAGGGUUUGGCAAUGAUGGAUAUAGACAUGAAAAAAAUAAAGCCCUCCAACAUUGUCAUCUUCUGUUCUGCUUCCUGUGACUAAAAAAGGGGGUUGGAAAAUGUGUAAAUAAUAUCACUCCUUGGCUUACACUGUAAAUGCCAAGAUUCAGCGUGGCAUAGAUUUUUGUAGCUUGUUUAUAAAUAAGGCUUUUGGCUUUGUUUUGAACGCAUGAAGCCCAUGUAAAUUAAAGUAAGGAGUAAAGACUUAUAAGUAUUUGUUUGAAUUGAAAAGGAUGGAUAUUUUCUCACUUCUUGGGACCAAAUUUAAAUUGAGAGCCUUGGAUGCACAAAAUAUGAAUGAGGUCUUAUCAGCUUUUCAUCUAUACAACAGUGUGAUGUUAGCUCGGAGUCAUGAAAAGCUGAUUGUAAGGGACACAAAUUAGAACCAGUUUGAUAAAGUGCCAAAGCAUGCACAAAAAACGUGGGCUUCAUAGUUUGAUAUAGAUUACCCAAAAGUUACAGCUCGAUCCUUUUUUAAAUUGUUGUAAAUAAAUGCAGAAAGUUUGACACCCCUACCAGUGGGGAUUAAAAUGGAACAGCUAAUUGUGUUCACUUGAGUGACAUAAAAGAUGCUUUUAUCAUUUUGAUGUGUUACACUGAAGCUAUCUUGUUUACAUUUUUCAGCAAUGAAUUUCACUUUAGGACAUUUCCUUCAUGUAAUUAAAUGUACAUAUAUGUUAAUUUCAAAGUAACUAGAGAGGAGACGGACAGAAUUGUAAUGCAGUCACAAAGUCUACCUUAUGAUUAUUACAGAUUUGUAACUAUCACUUAAAAUUGUGUACAAUAUGUUGACAUUUUAUCUUGUUAUCCAGAUGUAUUUUUCUAUGUUAGUUAAAUGUAUAAUUUGCAUAAUUUUGUAUAUUCAAAUGUAUGCAUAUUUUAAAUUA